UACGAAGGGGGCUAGCGUUGCUCGGAAUUACUGGGCGUAAAGCGCACGUAGGCGGCUUUCUAAGUCGGGGGUGAAAUCCUGGAGCUCAACUCCAGAACUGCCUUCGAUACUGGAGAGCUUGAGUCCGGGAGAGGAGAGUGGAAUUCCCAGUGUAGAGGUGAAAUUCGUAGAUAUUGGGAAGAACACCGGUGGCGAAGGCGGUUCUCUGGGCCUUACCUGACGCUGAGGAGCGAAAGCGUGGGGAGCGAACAGG
rnacentral:rRNA from 1 species